GCCGGGAUGGCUCAGCCUGGUAGAGCGUCGGACUCAUAGGGUUUGGUUUAAUUACUGACCUCACCAGGGAAAUCCGAAGGCCGAGGGUUCGAACCCCUCUCCCGGCACCA
rnacentral:tRNA from 1 species